CCCCAUUAUGUGACAUAAACACAUGCUCAUGAAUCAUAAUUUGUCUAUAAAUACGGAAUAAGUGAAAGCAUCAUUCUCAUCAAAAAUAAAAAUCUUAUCCUAUUUUCAUUAGAAAAAAAAUGAGAUCCAAAUUGCUUCUUCUUCUUCUCGGCCUUGUCUUAGCUCUUCUGAUGUCUUCACAAGUAGCUUCAGCUAGAGAGCUUGCUUCCGUUCAUCCAUCGGAGGAAACCGAUGGACGCGGCGGAUACGGAGGCCAUGGCGACGGACGCAAACGCAGUGCAGGAGGCCGCGGAAGAACGGGAGGAGGACACAGAGGUGGGAAGCACUGCCCCAGGAGCGGGUGCUGAGGGAAGAGACUCACAACUAAGCACUUGCUAGUUCAUAUGUAGCAUGUCAUGAAUAAAAUGCUAUUGAUAUACUUAAUUAUAGUAGCUGAUAAA